CGCCCCGACCCCACCUUUGGUUGCCAAAACUUUAUUGAUUCCUGUAUUUAAAGGUUUUGUAAAGCAAAAAAUAAUCAAAAUAUUGUUCGACUCGCUACGCUCGGCGGUAUGUAAAAGUUGUUCGAAAUACGCCCACUUUGAAAUAAACUGAAUCCGUCUGUCCGUAUAUAUUGUCAAAAUAUAUUGACCAACAUCAGUGUACGAUCAUCAUAACACAAUGGCGAC
rnacentral:lncRNA from 1 species